rnacentral:lncRNA from 1 species
ACUUGUAGUCGCAGCUACUCGGGAGGCUGAGGCAGGAGAAUCGCUUGAACCCAGGAGGCAGAGGUUGCAGUGAGCCGAGAUAGUGCCACUGCACUCCGGCCUGGCGACCCAGCAAGACUUGGUCUCAAAAAAAAAAAAAAAAAAAAAAUACAAAGUUGAAAGCUGACAAUCAAUGCAAGGUAAUACAGGUGGCAUUUUAAGUAGGGUGGUCAUGGUGGGCCUCAUGAAGGUGCCAUUUGAACAGACUUGAAGAGGAGAGAGACUGAGCCAUGCAGAUAUGUGCAAAGGAAGAACCUUCCAGAAUCACCCUCAUGUACCCCUAUGCUCUGUACAUACCCAGCGCUCUGCACUGAGGCAGACCCUAAAGCUGCAGUGGGAAUGGAGGUGGAUACACUUAUGGAAAGAAAGACUUCUUCAAAGAAUGGUGGUGACCCAGGUCUCGCCUUCCUGCUGUGGCUCUUAGAGGACCUGGAGUUGGAGAGGGGAAGUCACUGGCAUGUGGAGGAAGACGAGGAGAGGAGGGGGAGGCCACAGUGUGUCCCACCUUCACUGCACCUCUGCUCUCUCUCUCCUAUAUCGAGUGCCUCCCUCCCCAGAGUUGUGGUCACUGAUAAGGAGGACCCUGAGGGCAACCACACCUUGCCAUGCAGAGCAGCUGGCUUCUCACCUGCCAACCUCACUCUGACCUGGCUGCAGGAAGGGAAGGAGCCAAUUCUGGACUCAAGACUCAAGGGGACCAGACCCAGAGAGAUGAGACAUACCAGGGCUGGGCAGCUGUGGGGGUCCUUCCAGAGAGGAGCUGAGAUACACCUACCUGGAGGGGCCCCAGGGCCUGGAGGGGCUCCUCAGUGUGACUGGGGAGCUGUCCUUCCUCCAGGCCCAGGGAAUUGAAAAAAGAAGGAGGAACAGUGAAAUACGCCACAGGAAAGAAAAAUCUUAGUGAUCGCUCCUGCUGUCUCUCUCCUUUUGUCUAUUCUGGCAAAUUUUGUAAGUGAAAUUUGUUACCAAGAUGUGAAAAUCUUAUUAUAAGAAAGUCUCUAAAUAUUUGAGAAUAAAAUUAUCAAUGUCUCAGCUCUGCA